rnacentral:lncRNA from 1 species
AUGUAAUCACAUAUCUAUCUUCCUUCAAUCAAUCAUAUUUUUCCUCAUCAUCCCUUUUCUUAAUUUCAAAUAUAUUUAUGUAAAAUCUUUGUUAUGCAUCUUCUAUACAUGUCAUUCUGGUUUGUUUUAUAUAAUUUUUUUUAUGAUGCAUCAUAAAUAAAGUGAUGGACUACCUUUUAAUCUGAAAAGAAUUAUAUAUAUGUGAAUUGUUUGAUGUAGCAUAAGAAGCAAGAGGCAAAGUAAGACCCAGAAAAUGAGAAAAAGGAAGCUAAGAAAGAAGAUGAAGAAGCUCAUGGAAAGAACUCUGGCUGAAGGAAGAUGAACAACAUAAUAAUAUUCAAGCUCAGAACUAUGACCAGUGUGUCUCUUUUAUUUUAUAAUUUGGAGUGUCUUCAAAUAAUUUCUGAGCAAGUUUGAAGAAUGUUUGAUUAAUUACAUCAUGUAUUAACUCAUAUGCUGUAAUGUUCACGUCCAUUAUAUUGGCUGUGUUAAUAAUAACAGUAGAGUGAUUUUAAAUUGUACAGCACCAAUACUUCUUUCAUUUCUGGAAAUAAUAAUAAUUUAUUAAUUUUUAUAACAACUAAUUUUAAAUUGUUUAAUUAUUAUUUCUGAUUAAUUACAAUAUAAAAUCUAACCAAUAAAUCACAUUAAACUCUAUCAACAAAGAAUAUAAAGUCACUACACUAGUACAAAAAAUAAGUAUUUUACAACAAGUCGACAUAUUAUAUCGGUUAAUUGAUAACCAAUGUAAAUAAAAACACGGUAAUAUUUGUAAAUAUUUGAAAUAUAUUACAUUAGUGGUAAGGACCAACCGGUGUAAUAUGUUUUUUUUAGAGUUAAAAAAUAAUUUUUUUAGAAAAACUUAUUUGGGCACUACACAUAUUACACCGAUUGGUAAUCCAACCGGUGUAAUAUGUCCUUAAGAGUUUAAAAAAAUAAAAAUAAAAAUAUGAGUUGAGAUUACUUCGUGGAUGCGGUGGUAGAUCUUCGUAAACAUGGACAAUUAAUAUUAAUUUUUAAUAGCUUUUAUUAUGCAUAAUUAUAUUUAAUGAUAAUAUCAUGUAACAAAAUCAAAGUAUCAUGUAACAAAAUCAGAGUAUGAAGAAAGUAUAUAAUAAAAAUGAGGUGGCAUUUUUAUAAAUAUUUGACAUAUAUUACAUCGGUUGACCAACUGGUAUAAUAUGUUCUUUUCAAAGUUAAAAAAUAAAGUUUUAAAAAAAAUGAUUUUGGCGCUACAUAUUACAUUGUUGGUUAAUCCAAUCAGUGUAAUAUUUAUCCUACUUUUUGCCUUACGCUCUCACUGCUCACUCGUGCUUAAAGUUAUUUCUCUCUUGCUUUUGCCUUCACUACUACGGUAACAUAUUACACCGGUUGUGGCCUUAAUCACAAUACUAACUAAAUUAAAUAUUAUUCUAAAAAUUAAAAAAAAAUAUUAAUAUUUAAAAUAGUUUUUAUUAAUAAUAAAAUUUAUAAACUAAUUUUAGAUUGAUAUCUAAUUAAUACUAAGAUUUUAGCUACUAUAAUUAAAAUUAUUUAUUUAAUAAAUAAAUAAAAUUUAUUUUUAAAUAAAGCAUAAAGUUGUUUCUUUUUUAAAAGGUAAAAUUAUAUAAUGCAUGAAAAAGCUAAAACAAUUGCUUAAUUAUUUCAUCAGAAAGCACCUUUUAGAAACAAAAUGGAUACAGACAAACUCACUCUUAAUGACGAAAAAUUCAACUAAAAUGAAUACAGGCAAAUUCAAUAAUCUCUUUCUAGGUCAUGAUUAUCACAUUAUAAGAAAUGAUAACUCAGAUUUCAAUUGGGGAUUUUUAAGUUUUGAAAGAACUAAAAUGCAACAGACCUUGUGGAGAAUAUGCUAAAAUAAAGAUGUCAAAUAAUGUAUAACCGAGACAGGUUAGAUUGAGGAAAAGAAAAUUCUUGAAAAAAAUAAAAAUAAAAUAUUUAUGACUUAAAUUAUAGUUUAUGUAAAAGUUAUUUGUUGAAUUUUUAUAUAACUUUUGGACAUUUUUAUUUUUAAAAUAUACGAAAAAAAAUAUUCCAUUUUCGUAUCAGAAGUUUGUAUAGAAAAAAAAUUCCAAAUAUAUUUUUUAUCUAUGAUAUUAAUUUUUUAACUAAAAAACUAUUGGACCUACUAUUUGAUAAGGACAUAUAAGUUCAAGAAAUUCUCCCUCCAACUCCUAUGGAGAGAUAAACCAAACUAACAGGCAAAUAAGGAAUGUAACAAUCUAACAAUAAUACUCACAAGAGUACAAUAACAAUCCAACUUUAUUCAAUUUAUUCUUUAAUAAAAUAAACAAUAAUAAUUCAAAAAGAUGAAAAAAAAAGAAGAAAGAAGAAAAUUAGAACCACAACCACAACCAUACAUAUAACAACCACAUAUAUAACUUUGAGCAUUGCCAAAAGCAGAACAAGACUGAUAAACACGCAAAAAAAAAAAAAAACUUAGUGGGCAAACUUUUUCCACUAAAAAAAGAUAUGAAAUAAUUGUGAGACGACAAAGAAUUUUACAUCAUUAUACACGAACGAAAAAAGAGAAUGGAAAAGAACUCAACGACAAGUUUUCUCAAAGUAUGUUGAAUGUUUGUUGUGAAGCUUGAAUAUAGUGUUUAUAAUUCAAGAUAAUAUCGAAACUAGUUGUAUUGUGAUUUAAAUCGAUUACAUACCAAUUAUAGUAUAUUAAUAUUAACGUAAUAAAUAAUAGAAUUAAAAAAAACUAUCUAAUAUUAAGGAUGUGCAUAUUUAAUAAUAAUUACUUUUUUAACCGAUAAUAUUAUUAUAAGGUUGUUUUAUACACUUCAAAAGUUGUCAAGGAGAAAAGGAGAAAAAUAAUUGUAUGACUUUUUUCCAUACGACAAUGACUUUACAACACAUAUAUUACGUGAAUAAUUUACCUAUAUAUUACUAAACAUUUUUUUAAAUAAAAGUCUAAUAUAUAAAUUUCCAUUCAAUAACAAUUUUCAUGAUCAUUAUAUUUAAUUAUUCAAAAAUUUCUUUUAAGAAAUUAAUAUAUUUUUUUAUUUAUUGAGUUAUAUAUAUAUAUAUAUAUAUAUAUAUUAUCAAUAAAAAUAAAUGAAUAAAUAUGAAAUAUUUUAGAAAUGUUUUAAUCCUAUGCACAUAAGUUAUGGUGUCAGCAUAACCUUUCAAAAGACGUUCAAAAUCUUACAAUAAAACAAAAAAAAUAUGAUUCUAUCGAAUCCUCAAGCUUUUACAAAUUUGUUUCAAUCUCUCGACAUAAAGCUAAUAAACGUGAUCAUCGAUUCUAUCUAAACCCAAUCCAUAAUCUAAACAAACAGUAUGUAUAAUCAACAUAAAAAAAGUUGUCCAUAAAAUCAUAACCUAACAAAUCCUAUAUUGUUGUUAUACAUCACUACAUAUUACCUUCCCUUGUGUUUUCCCAACAAAGACAGACCCCAAACAACAACAUCAUCUUGUUUUUCUACUCUACUAUAUUCUAGAAGCAGAGCGUAACACCUGCAACUUAAAGUGAAGAAAGAGCCCCAAAAACAAUUGCGAGCCCAAAAGCAAUAAAAAAAAUAUAAAUCUAGGUUUGAUAACCUGAUGUAGUUACUUUAACAGUUGAAUGCAAGUGACAGGAUUUUAAAUCACUAGCUAGUGAAUGCAGAGAUAAAAUCACAAUUCAACCAGAUUUUAAAUGAGUGAGAGAGAGAAGAUCACACAAACAAUUAUACUGGUUCACUCCUUACCAGAGCUACAUCUAGUCCCUAGAAAACCACUGGGUAUUCACUAGGUAAUCAACAACAGACUACAACACACAAACACCACAAAGAGGUGAUCUUGACCACAUAAGAACACACACUCUCUUUGCCUUUUCACACACACAGUCAGAACAACCCUCUGACUUGCAGAUUUACUGUUUUACAUGUAUACAAAAUGAAAAACAAUUACAAGAAUAGAAGGAAAAGAUUACACCUGGUGUACAGGAAAUCACAAAGAUCUUAAUUCACUUCUUGAACUAAUGGCACAGCCUUAGGAAAUCUAGCAAAGCUUGAAUUAAAUCUUCCUCAAAAUUGUUUCUUAAUCUCUCUUUCUGUGUCUUUCAAAUAUGGGGGUAACCUAGAUUUAUAGCUUUUCAAACUAGCCGUUUUAGGAAGUUAAACACGAGCCAAAACAGUUUCAAACCCUCCAAACAAACUGGGUGGAAAACAACCGACUAAACCGAGAAAUCAAUUGGUUGUUUUUCACUUAGCUUAGAAAAACACUUUUUAUUGUCAAAACCAGAUUGAUUCAGCUGUGCUUUGGAUUAAGAAUGAUUUUUACAAAUUCUAAACUACCUAGAACUAAACCCCAAACAUAACAGCACAUGCAUCAAGCUCUCUUAACAGAUUUGGAGGUAUCAAAGCUUCAUUUUCAAUAAUAAACACUUCACAAUUAAGUCAGUGAUCUCAACAUCCAAGACAAGGUCCCACCAAACUUUAAAAGGACCUCGGUAAAAGAAGAAUUGGACAUAGGUCAGAGCAUCAAAUGUUCUUUCUUCUGGUAUUUUUAAAAAGACAAGUUUAUGUAAAUAGAUUAUGCUCACUUUGGGGGUCCAAUUAUAAGAAUAAGCUAGAGUAGGGUUCAAUUAGCAUAAAUUGGGUGUACUUAGCAUAAAUUGGUCUUGUGGCAAGCCCACCUUUCAUGACAUGUGCUUCUAGGUUUUGGGUUUCUUUGCACAAAUGACACGCCUACCCCUCUAUCUUGUUCUGCAAGACACUCUCUCCUAUAUAAAUAGAUUGCCUUGCCUCAUGUAUUUCACAUUGAAUUUGGAAUGGAAAGGAAACUCUGCAGGAGUGUUUAGUGAGCUUUGUCUCCUAGAAAUUGGGUCUUAUCUUGGGUAUUUGGGCACUUCAAGUGGCGGCUCUUCACCACUUAUCUUGGAGUCUCCUCCCCUUCCAAUGGCGUGAUUCCUUAUUCCAUAAACAUCUCUUAAUCUCUUCACCUUUGUGUUUUUCUUUCCUUUUUCCUUAUGCCAUUCUUUCAUACUUUUAUUCAUUUAUGUUUGACCCUCUUCAUCAUCUUAUUCUUCUUUUCAUGUCUUUCAUUUUCGCACCUUCAUCAUCAUAAUAACCAUAUUUGUAUUUUCUCUUUGCCCUCUGGAAGUGCACCUUCCACUUACUUAACCACUUGGUUAAGUUCGUGUCCAGUGGGAAUCUUCUUUGGGUCUCUCACCAUAAUUGCUAAUGUCAAAACUCAAACAAAAGAGUAACCCAUAAAUGUGCAAUCUUAAAUUCAACUCACAUCACUUAUUAACUUUAAUCAUAAAUUAUUGGAAUGCAAUAAUAAAUAAAUCUAUUGUUUUAAUUAAUAUACUUCUAAUUGGGUUUAUUUGGGUCUUAAUUAUUAUUUAUAUUUAUUUUGUAUUUUUAAACCAAGUUGCUUCUUUUGGAUCAAAAUUUGAAAUAAAGAAUGAGAGAAUUAAAUAUGCAAAUAUUUGAGAAAAGGAAUUGAAUGCAAAUUUUUGUAGGGGUAUUCUAUAAAAAUCCUGCAAUUAAAAUUCCUCUGCAAAAUCCUUCAAAAAUAGAGAAAAUAUACUUUGAAGAUAUUAUUCAAGAAAAUCUUCUGCAAUAUCUCUAAGAACGAUGUUGAAAUCAAUUACAAUCAAAGAACAAAUCUGAAGAAAAAUGGAAACAAUAUUUCUGGAAGAAAAGUAAGAAUAAAAUCUGAGACUAUUCGGGAAUGAAGAUAUAUGUUUAAUAAUUUGAAACAGGAAAGGAAACAUCUGAUAAUUGUAAAACAAUAUCAUAAGGCAGAUUUUAAUUUGAUUUUGUGAUGGGAAAGAAGAUUACAGAAGAGACUUCAGUGGAAGGAAAAAGCAACUUUUGAGAUCGUGUUUCAUAGGAGCAAACACAUUCUAAACCUAGUUUUCUUUUCUUCUUUAUAAUACUUUUGCUUUUCCUCGGCAUGGAAAGCUAAACCUUUUUGGUUGAUUUCUUUGUAAUUUCCCAUUGAGUUAUGAGGUUGCUGGGGAUUUGGCGUCGUUGUUGGGGAAUCCAAUUUUUUUUUUAUCAGCAAUAAAUAAAUGAAAUUAAGAGGGAUACUUCAGGGGUAUCCCAACCCGUAUACAACAGCCACAAAGGUACUCCACCAAAAUAAGGGAAGAUAACCAAAGUGUGACUUAUCCUGCAAAAAGAAAAGUUAUAACCCCAACCAACACACAUAUUGCACCAUAAUGACAGCAAACCUACAAGGUCAUAGCAGCACCCAAAACCCAAACACUGUUCCAGAAAAGUAAAAUCUGCAUCACCUAAUAUUUAAUAUUCAACGAGCAUUAUGCACCAGCGUUCUAACAGCUCCCCAAUUUGCACCUUAGUGUCCAAGCCCUCUACACCAACUUUGGUUUCUCGUUCAUCCGUCUAUGUACCCUACUCCAGCAGCCUCUGCUUCCUGCCUUUCCCCUUUAUACCAAAGCUCCAUCAAAAUUGUGCCUCCAAAUUUGAUUUUGGUUUUUCAUAUUUUUUUUAAUUCUCCUAUAUUUAUUUUCUGCAUAUUUAACUUGUGUUUUCUCCUGGUCAACACACCAACACUAAGAAUACUGAUCUUGAUCCCCUCAAGAACACACAUCACUUCUCAGCAAACACACAAAGUUCUUUCAACAGAUACAAGGAUUACACUUGUUACAGAAACAAAUCUGAAAUCAAUACAAGCAGAAAAUCCUAUCUCACACUCUUUGAUCAAUCUCAAUCUCUAAGCAAUCUCAACUUUUUCUCUUAAGCAAAAUCAGUGAAAAACUCAAAUUUGUUUUUCUGUAUAUAUUCAAAGAUGUUGUUUGUUAUCAAAUCUUAACAAACUAUUCAUUGCAUUUAAGGAUUGGUCAAAGCAAUAAAAACUGGAGCGUAAUCAGUUAGAAAAACAUUUAAUGCUCAGUCAAAGCACAAACCAUUUUUUUGUUAUGGUACCAAAACAAACAAUUGGUUGUUUCCUCGAAUCAAUCGGUUGUUUUGGUUUUGACAACAAGUCAAUCAUAAAAACAGUUUUCAACAUUUUCUAAAAACACCUAAGUAUAAAACAAUCGGUUGUUUCGACAAAACAACAGGUCGUUUUUCACUUAGUUUGAAAAACACUUUUCUUUUAAAAAGAUUGAGAAUGCCUAUGCUUUGGAUUCAAUCAAGAGUGGAUUACAAACACAAUCUACCCCAGAUCCUAUCUAAGACAGCUCAGCAACAACAAACACAACCUAGCCUUCAACAUCCUUCAAAGGGUUUUGGAUUCUUCAAAGCUUGAACACCACUUGGUUCAACAGUUUAUUUUGAUGAUAUACUAAUCUAUAGUUUGUCUUUAGAAGAUCAUGAGUCACAUGUUAGGCCAAAGGGGUUCCUAGGGUUUGUUGUUAGUUCAAAAGUGGGUGCAUGUAGACAAAGAAAAGGUUGCAACAAAUGAAAUAUGUCAAAGCAAGCACACCAAUCUCAAAGCCAACCACAACAAAACCAAUGAAACAAUAAAGACAAACAAGAAAAAGUUAUAAGCAAAGAAAGGCUAGAACAAAAGGAGUACUAGAUGUAUGACAAACUCAAAGAUUAAUGAACAAAAGACAAGCAAGAAAAGAAGGAACUCAAUGAAAAAAUAGGCACACAAAAGAAUACUUAAAGAAAAGCACUAGAGUAGAUGAAGAAAACAAAAACAAGCUACUGGAAAAUAUUUUUUAUGCAAAUUAUGUUUGAUGUUCACUGAUUUAACUGGAAUGAUAUAGAGCGAACUGGAUUAUGAAAAUUUAACCAUAGAAACUUCAAGAUCUUAACUCAACAAUGGCACUGGAAUUACUUAAAAACAGUAAGCCAAUUAAUUGAGAUAAAUUUUUCAAAAUCGCUGCCAGAUUACCGUAUUUUUUCGGCAGAAUUGUACACUUUUUGUAUUUUAUUUAUCAUUUUUUGUGUACUUUGAAUUUUUGAGUACUUCUUUUUGCUAUGCUUUUAUAACACUUUGAAGAACAUAAAUCCAGAAUUUCAGAAUUUUUCAGAGAGUAAAUCAAUUGCAAUAAGCAAAAACAGUAAGCACGUUUUCAGAAAACAGAGGAAUCCUAACAGGAAUGAAAAACAGAAUUAAGAACUAGCAAAGACAUAAUGGAAAAUUAUGUAUAGGAACUUGUAUAGGUCUAAAAUACAAGUAAGAACUCAAUUCUAAAACAGAAAAUGAACAAAGGAUCAAAUAUCAAACUCAAAAAAUUAUAUGACACCAAAGCAAGAAACAAAAAAUUCAAGAAAAGUACUACAAGAAGUGAUGACAAUUAUGGAAAAACAAGACUUAAGACAAAACUUGUAUGGAUUCAAAAAGGAAAAUACUCAAACACUUGAUAGGCAAAAUAAAGAAAACAGCAAGCAAACUCAAAAUAAGCCUAAAAACAGAAAUGUAAAUUGCAAGAAAUUAAAGAGCUCUUGAAAUAAAGUGCAACACAACUCAAAAUUAAACAAGAAUGAACCUAAGACUCAUGAUACCACAUGAUGUGAUAUCAAUGGCAAAAUAGAGAAUGAUUCUUGACCUUCUUAGGAAUCAACUUGAGUUGGACAAUAGUUAGGCACUUUUUCUUAGAAUUGGAUCAAUGUUCUAAGUCAAGAACUCACCAAAACUAGCACCAAAUCCAAACUCAUAUGGAAGUUCCAAUUAUAGUCAAAUUGAACCGAUUAAAGUGAAAGAAGAAGCAAUUGCACCGAAUAGAAUUAGCUAAAAACUGAAAAGAACCGAACAUAAAGGCUGAAAAUGAAUAAGAACAACAAUGAACAGCAAGGAAACAAAGGCACCGAACCAAAACACCUAAGAAUUGAAAACUGCCGAACAGAAAUUCAAGAACAACAAGCUAAACAUGAACAAUUGAAAGAGAAGGAAGGAAGGAGAGGAGAAAGCUCAUGAAGAUGGAUGUAUGGUUGGAUGAUUACACCACUAGAAGGAUGGAGACUCCUAGAUGAGUGUGCAAGCCGCCACUUGAGGUAACCAUGGAACCAUCAAGAUAAGACUAGAGAAGAAGGCACAAAGCUCUCCAAUGCUCUCUCAAAAUUUGAGUAUAGUUUCUUUAGUCUAAAUUCAAAUCUGAAUUGUACAAGGGCAGCACCUUAAUUUAUAGCCUAGAGGUGCUGAAAAAUAGGUGGGAAAUUUCAAAUAAAACUCAUUUGAAAUUCCCACCAAAAACAAGUCACAUGGGAGGUGUGACCUUUUUCUACUAUGACACCUCCUAAAAACUACACCUACACCACUCUCCUAAGUCACAUGGACAAUGUGACUUUCUUUUACAUAUUCACACUCUUUUAUUUAAUAUCCACACCUCCUAAAACUAUACUAGAGUAUUUCAAAGCUUGGCCUUUCCCCUCAUGGGAUGGACUUGGGCUUUUCGGGCUUUGGCCUUCUUGGGCUUGGGCUUGGGCUUUGGGCUUGGGCCUCAUCUUUAUUUUAUGUCUUCUUUUAAUUUUUAGAAGACUAGAAGAAAGAACUUCAAAUGUGAGGGUGGAUGUCCUCUUCCUCCAUUAAUAAAAGCCUCCUUUAUUUGAUUCUCAUCAUCAAAAGUGGGUGCAUGUAGACAAAGAAAAGGUUGCAACAAUUCAACAUUGGCCAACACCCACCAAUGUUAAUGAAGUUCGAAAUUUUCAUGGACUUGCUAGUUUUUAUAGAUGGUUUGUGCAAAACUUUAGUACCAUUGCUGCACCACUAAAUGCUAUAGUAAAGAAGGAUGUGGUAUUCAAGUGGGGACAUGACCAAAUUCAAGCUUUUGAAACUUUAAAGAAAAAAUUGACUAAGGCCCCCAUUUUAGCCCUUCCUAACUUUACUAAAACAUUUGAUAUAGAAUGUCAUGCUUCUAAUAUAGGCAUUGGGGUUGUUCUCCUUCAAGAGGGUCAUCCUAUUGCUUAUUUUAGUGAGAAACUCAAGGGGAGUCAUCUCAACUACUCCACCUAUGAUGAAGAACUUUAUGCUCUUGUAAGAGCCUUUGCAAAAUUGGCAACAUUAUCUUUUUCCAAAGGAGUUUGUGAUACAUAGUGAUCAUGAAUCCCUUAAAUAUUUGAAAAGCCAAAGCAAGCUUAACAAGAGACAUGCCAAGUGAGUGGAGUUCCUUGAGCAAUUUUCUUAUGUGAUCAAACAUAAGCAAGGUAAAAUAAAUGUGGUUGCGGAUGCUCUUUCUAGACGUUAUACCUUGUUAAAUGUUUUGGAUGUUCAAUACUUAGGUUUUGAUCACAUAAAGGAACUUUAUAAUGAUGACCUUGAUUUCUCUCUUAUCUAUCAAGAGUGUUCCAAAGGAGGACACAAAUAUUUUUUUCAUACAUAAUGGUUUUCUUUUCAAAGGAAAAAGACUUUGUGUUCCCCAUGGAUCUUUAAGACAAUCUCUUGUUAUAGAAGCACAUGAGGUAGGACUUAUGGGACACUUUGGGGUAGCUAAAACUUAAGAUACAUUGCAUGAACAUUUCUUUUGGUCACACAUGCACAAAUUCGUACAUAACUUCUAUGAUAAAUGCAUAGCAUGUAGGAAGGAUAAAUCUAAAGUGCAGCCCCAUGGUUUAUAUACCCCUUUUCCCAUCCCAACAAUGUCUUAGGUAAAUAUUUCUAUGGAUUCUAUCUUAGGUCUUCCCAAGACAUCGAAGGGUAUGGAUUCUAUCUUUGUGGUAAUGGACUGGUUUUCUAAAAUGACUCACUUUAUUCCAUGCCACAAAGUAGAUGAUGCUUGUUUUAUUGCAAAUCUCUUCUUUAAGGAAGUAGUUCGUUUGCAUGGGUUUCCUAUAAGUAUUGUGUCCGACAAAGAUUCAAAGUUCUUAAGCCAUUUUUGAAGGAAUUUGUGGGGAAAACUUGGCACUAAACUCUUGUUUUCUACUGCUUGCCACCCCCAAACUAAUGGUCAAACUAAGGUGGUUAAUAGAACUUUGGGUCAAAUGUUAAGAUGCCUUAUUUUCGGGAACUUGUUUUCUACUACCUCAUAUUGAAUUUGCUUAUAAUAGAGUAGUAAAUUCUACCACUGCCCAUACUACUUUUGAGGUUGUUUAUGGGUUCAAUCCCCUCACACCUCUUGACCUUUUUCCAAUUCUUGUACUUGAUGAGGUGUUGUGCAAGGAUGGUUUUGAAAAGGCUUCUUUUAUUAAAGACUUGCACCAUCACAUCAAGCUGCAAAUUGAAAGAAAGGUCGGCAAGUAUGUUGAACUUGCCAACAAAAGGCGCAAGGCAUUAAUCUUUGAACUCGGGGAUUGGGUUUGGUUACACUUGAGGAAUGAUAGAUUUCCUACUCAAAGGAAGUCCAAACAUAUGCCACGUGGUGAUAGUCCUUUUCAAGUCAUCAAAAGGAUUAAUGAUAAUGCCUAUGAGUUAGAUAUGCCUGAUACAUACCUUGGUAGUCAUUCUUUUAAUAUCAGUGAUCUAACUCCUUUCUCUACAGGUCUUCCAAAUUCGUGGACGAAUUCUCUCUCACUCGGGGAGCAUGAUGUAGACCAAGGAGAGAGGACGCCUGAGGCCCAAGCCCAACAAGCCCAAGCCUAAUCUGAGGCCCAAGCCCAACCCAUGAUUACAUCAUCUACCAUGCCUCAGAGGAUUACUACAAGUAGGGCACAAGCAUUACGAGAUGAGCAUCAAUUGAUGUAUCUUUUGGUAAUUUCUUUAUAGUAGAUUUAAAAUAUAACAUAAAAGGGAGGUGUGAAUAGGAGUUUAGGGCUUAUGAGAAGUAGUAGCAAAGUCACACUUUCCACGAGGAGUCACACCUACCAUGUUUGGGCGGCAUUUUCAAAUGCUUUUCUUUUUAUUUUUCCCACCAUAAAACCGGACCUUUACUAGUAUAAAUAGGGGUGCUUGGUUCAUGUAAAAUAAAAUUGAAAUUGAAGUAAAGUUACUAUACUCAAAUUGAGUGAGAAUUUGUGAGAUUUGUUCUCCUUUCCUAGUCUUAUCUUAUGAGUCUUUGGAAACUCUCAAGUGGCGGCAUCCUUCACUUAUCUUGGAGUCUAUUCACCUUCCAAGUGGCGUGUACCUCUUCCCUUGCUUCAACCACAUAAUUUUUUGUUAUCAUUCAUCUUUUAAUUCCAUUUCCAUUCCAUAUCAAAUUCUAAACAUGUUUUGUUGUUGUGUUCUGGAAUUCAAUUGGUUUAGAUGUCUUGAUUCUUAAUUCUAAUUGGUUCAAUCUAUUUGUUUGGUAUUUUAAUUGGUUAAAUUGUCCUUGUUCUUGUGUUCAUGUUUCCGCACAUUGUUUAGCAUUCAUUCAUCACCUAUACUUGUGUUUUUCCUUUGAUCUUUGGAAAUGAACCUUCACAUCUACUUAACACUUGUUAAGUUAAUGUUCAGUGGGGAUUUUCCUUAGAUUUCUCACCUUAAUUGCUUAAGAAUUUCGAUCCUAAUUCUAAAAAGUGUCACCUAAUGAAUCAACCUAAAAUCAACUCACAUCACUUCUCUAUCUUUCCUUUCAUUCUCCUCUCUUUCUCUUUUCUCCUUCUUUCUUUCUAACAAGAGCUUGAAAUUUUUCUUUAAACUAUUUUUCUCUUCUAGCAUAUUCUUUUUCUCCGUAUAUAAAGUUUCUUCCUUUUUCUACAAGCUCUUUCAUUUCUUCUUUAAGCUUUUUCUUUCUCACAUAUGAAGACGGAACAAACUUUCUUCUCAUACACAUAUUCAAUUCAUCCCAAUUAAGUACUUUUGAUUUUCUGCCAAUUCUAACAUCAAUUUCCCUUUUUGUUCACCAAGACCUAGCAUAUUCUUGAAAACACAGGGUAGCCAUGGAAAAUCUGCUAAAUUCAUCCAAUUGAUGUUUUUCAAAGAUUUGAUCAACUUUUGUUUCCCAUUCUAUAUAUGCUUCAACAAUUUUAUUUCCAUCAAAGUAAGGAAUGUAUACUUCAGGCUCGGUAGAAUAAUAUAAACUUCUAGGCUCAAAACACAUCCCUUCCUUUUUUUGAUAAUGAGGGUUAUAAAUCUUUCUUCUAUGACUAUGCUCCUCAUCUCUAUGACUAUUUCCUUUUUGGCCCAAUUUUUCAUAUCUAUACCCUAUCUUCCUUUCUUUUUCCAGGUCUUUUGGAUGUUUUAUACCUUGUUUUUCUUUACUUUUUUCUCAUCUUUUUGCCAUAAAAUUCUAAGUUCCUUCUCAAGAAUGGCAAGACAGAUAUCUCUUUCAAUCUUUUCAUUUUCUUGUGGAAUAACCUCUUCAUUUUCAUUGGUAACAAAAAGUGGGUCUGCGGACCUGAAGAUCAUUGGUGCCCGUGGCAGGUGGUUUUUCGGUUAGAGAUAAAAGAUUGACGUACUUAAUAUAUUUUUAGUUAAGAUUUGCUUAUCUCCAUGGAGAAUGGUUGCAUGUUGCUUGUGAGGAAGUAAAAGGAGAAUAAGUCUCCAAGUAAAGGUACAUUAUUUUUAAUAUACUUUCUUAAUUGGUUACUUUCGAUAAGUCCUAGCUGACUUGAUCGUCAGAGUGUAAUCAACAGGUAGGGCGCCCUCUAUCUUAAUGGAGCCUUAUUCUAGUGCGACAAGGAGACGCGAAAUCGGUUCCAGAAGAGGUAGAUACAAAAGGGGUUAUUCAACCUGAAGUCAACCGGCAACUCAGUCAACCGGCAAUAAUUUUUUUUAUAAAGCACAAAUUUCAUUUACUCUUUCCUUUUUUUUUAUUUCUCUCUUUGGAUAUAAAUAAAAGUAUAAAAACAUUUUUUUUUUAUUUCUUUCUUUGGAUAUAUAUAUCCAGAGAGAGAAAUAAAAAAAGGAAAGAGUAAAUGAAAUUUGUGUUUUAUAAAAAAAAUUAUAUGAUAAUAAUUUUUAAAAUUAUUAAAUGUUUUUAUACUUUUAUUUACUUUUAAAAAGUUGUAUAUGUUAUUUUUAUUAUAGAUAAAUCAUUUCAUUUAAAUAAGUUUAUCUAAUAAAUAUUUUUUUUAUAAAAGUUUUCAUUUUAGACAUCAUUAUGCAACCUGACAUCUCAGUUAGAUUGACACUUCAAGCAAUAACAAUCAUCUGCCAUCACAUAAAUAUUAAUCAAAGUUAUUCUUUUAUAAAUUUAUUUUUUUUAUUUCUCAAUUUAAAUUACUUUUUCAUUGAAUUUCUUUUUAACAUUUUUCAAGGUGAUUAAUUUUCAUAUAAUACCAUAUAAUAAAACAUUAAUUACUUUAAUUUAUAAUAUUAAAUAUUUUUUAAUUUGAACUAUCUAAAAUAAAAAUAUAAUAAAUAAAUAUUAAAAAUAGUACGAUAAUUAAUUAUCUCUAUAUGGCGGUGGUGCGGUGAGUAGUGGCUUUUGGAAUGGCGGAGGGUUCUAAUGGUUUCAUCAUCCCAUGGAAUUGUUUGAAGGAUAGGGAAGUAUCUCCUGCGAAGACUGUAUAUGCUAAGCCUGGACAAAAGAAAAAUUUUGCUCAAGCUUUGGGAACUACAUGCGAUAUUUCUUUGUCCGAGUUACCCACUCCUUAUGUUAAGGGAGACAUGAUUGUGGUUCGGAUCGAUGAGAUAGAAUACUUGGCUGGCCUUGAGGAUUGCAAGACUCAUUUACAUGGUCGGGUUAUUCUUUCUAAGGGAGAUAAACCUCUCACACACCUGGACUUAACUAAAAAGUUGCAGCCGGUGUGGAAGGCUAUUGGACCGUGGAAAGCAAUUCCUCUUGGGAAAGGUUUUUAUGAGUUUGAGUUCGCUUCUUUAGAAGACAUGCGGUGGGUUCCUUGAAGCUAUCUCUGGGUUUCUUGAGACUUUUUUCCUGGACAAAAGAUUUUGUUCCAACUACCAUGAAAAGUACAAAAACUCAGGCAUGGGUUAGAAUCUAUAGUUUGCCUUUGGAGUAUUGGAGGCCACAUGUGAUUUUUUCAAUCAUAAAAUGUCUUGGUACUCCUUUGGUUUUGGAUGAGAAUACUAUAAGAAAGAAAAGGGGUAUGUUUGCUAAAGUGCUGGUGGAUAUUGAUAUGUUGUCUCCUCUUCCUGAUCAUCUCUGGGUUGAACGCUCAGACUUUACCGUUGUAGCUGGUGUGGAAUAUGAAUGACUCCCUCCUUUUUGUUCUCACUGUAAGGUGAUAGGCCAUGAGCUUGCUCAGUGCCGAGUGAUUCAUGAUCAGGGUCGUGCUCCUGGGUCUCAACAUAAAUCUUCUCAUAAGAUAAUUUCUUAUGAACGAGAUCAGGGGAGGACUGAGGUCCCAAAACAACGUAAAGAGUACCGUAAAAAAGAUCCGCAUCCGAAGCACGUGGAAGGUAACACUGAUAAAUUGACCAUUAAUGCUUCUGGCAGAGCUAAAGCAGGGUCACUCUUGGGUUAUACUGCUCUUGAUAAACCAGGUGGAGUGGAGGAUGAUUUUGCUGAUAUGCCUUCUCUUGAAGAUGUCUCAGAUCAUGAAUCCAGGCAGGGAUUGCCCACUCACACUUCGGAUUUCCCAAAAAUGGGGGACGCUAAGGAAUUCACCUGCUGGUAUGCAAGCCAUGGGCUCCGAGUCUCAUGCUCUUUUUGAUGCUCAUCAUGUGGAGGUCUUGACUCCUGUGGUGGUAUCACCUCAGUUACGUCCCAUCUCUCCUCAGCGGGUUAAAUCACCUGUUCAUACUACAACCCUAACCAAUACUCCAAUGAUGGUCAUCAUGAGGAGGUCUCUGCUAUUGUGACUGUACCAUCCUCGUCGUUGGUGCUAAAAAAUCACUUCUCCUCUCUUGAUGGUUUAGACACUACAAAUGUGGGAGGUGAUCCUUAUAUUGGUACGUCUAGUGCCAUUGUUGAACUCAGAAGGCUAAAUCUUCUGCAAAUGUUAAAGUUGUUAGAAUAUAUGGCUUUAAACUAGAGGGGGGGUGAAUUGUUUAAAGAGGGUUUUCGAAAAAUUUUAAGCCAAGAAUGAAAUUACUUCGAGAAACAAAUGAUAAGGAAUUCAGUUUGCCAAAACACAAAGCAAAAACAACAGCACCAGAAAAACAAUCGGUUGUUUCACAGAAACAAUCGGUUGUUUAUACCAAUUCACAAAUAUUGAAAUUGAAUUUAAAGAGAUUAAGGAUAGAGAGAAUGCACACAAAUGUUUAUACUGGUUCACUCUAAACCCAGAGCUACAACCAGUCUUCUCAGAAACCACUGAGGAAUUCCACUAAGUAAUCAAACCUAGAUCGCAUACAACACAACCAAGAAAGUGACCUUGAUCCCCUCAAGACACACACUUCUCUUGGCCAACACACCAACACUAAGAAUGUUGAUCUUGAUCCCCUCAAGAACACACAGCACUUCUCAGCAACCACACAAAGAUUCUUGUUUAACAGAUACAAGGAUUACACUUGUUACAGAAACAAAUCUGAAAUCAAUACAAGCAUAAAUCCUAUCUCACACACUUUGAUCAAUCUCAAUCUCUAAGCAAUCUCAACUUCUCAAAAUCUUAAAAUCUGCAUUGUCAAAACUCAAAUAUGUUUUUUUUGAAUAUAUGAAAGAUGUUGUUUGUUAUCAAAUCUUAACAAACUAUUAAUUGCAUUUAAAGAUUGGUCAAAGCAUUAAAAACUGGAGCGUAAACAGUUAGAAAAUCAUUUAAUGCUCAGUUAAAGCACAAAACAGUUUUUCUGUUAUGAUACCAAAACAAACAAUCGGUUGUUUCCUCGAAUCAAUCGGUUGUUUUGGUUUUAACAGCUCAACCAUUUGAAAAACAGUUUUCAAUCUCUCUAAAAACACCUAAGUAUAAAACAAUUGGUUGUUUCGACAAAACAAUCGGUUGUUUUUCACUUAGUUUGAAAACACUUUUCUUUUAAAAAGAUUGAGAAUGCCUAUGCUUUGGAUUCAAUCAAAGAGUGGAUUACAUACACAAUCUACCCCGGAUCCUAUCUAGGACAACUCAGCAACAACAAGCACAACCUAGCCUUCAACAUCCUUCAAAGGGUUUGGAUUCUUCAAAGCUUGAACACUACUUGGUUCAACAAAAGCACUAUCGUUGGUCCUGCAAAAUCACUUUUCCUCUCUUGAUGGUUUGGAAAAUACAAAUGUUUUUUCAAAAUUUUGGGCUGAUCCCAACAAGAUGGAGGAGGAUGACAGUGAUACUGGGGAGGAAAUAGUUUGCACUAAAAGAAAACCAGGGAGACCACCUAAGAAGAAUGGUAAAUCCAAAAAAACUGCUAAGGCAGUUCUUUCCACAACGUCGCAAUGAAAGUCNNNNNNNNNNNNNNNNNNNNNNNNNNNNNNNNNNNNNNNNNNNNNNNNNNNNNNNNNNNNNNNNNNNNNNNNNNNNNNNNNNNNNNNNNNNNNNNNNNNNGGAUUGGGAAACCACAAAACUGUGGAGAUGUUGAUUAGUUUACUCAAACUACAUAAACUUCUUCUAGUUUUUCUUGCUGAACCUAUGGUGUCGUACACUGAUGCUUUUGAAGUCAUUUUCAAAUCUGUUAAUAUGCAUUUGGUGGCUACGUCUCCUAUUGUUAAUAAAGUUGCUAAGCUUUGGUGUUUGUCGGUUCCUAAUUUGGUUCGAAAUUUCUUGGUAAAUGAACAAUUUAUUUCUGUAACUUGUCAUUUGCAUGAUAAAUGUUUUAGUUUUGUAGGUGUUUAUGGUGCUACCACAUACGUGGCUAGACGUGUUUUGUGGAGGGAUCUUAGUUCCUUCAUAGGGCCUUGGUGUAUUAUGGGUGAUUUUAAUGUUGUGCUCUCGGCGGAUGACUGUAAAGGAGGGGUGGCUCCUAAUCAAGUUUCUUGCAAUGAAUUCCUUGAUUGGAUUAAUACUAAUGAUCUUUCUUGUAUGCCUUUUACUGGCACUUGCUAUACUUGGUGUAAUGGAAGGAGAGGGCUCCAUAGAAUUCAUAGAAGAUUGGAUAGGGCGUUAUGUAACGAAGUGUGUUUGGAUGAAUGGGAUUCUUGUACUUAUCAGGUUCUUGUUAAAAAUUGUUCUGAUCAUUCCCCUAUUCUUACUAGUCUUGCUAGUAAUUCUUUGAGGAAGGUUAGCAAUUUUCAUUUCUUUUCUAUGUGGCUUCAAGACGCUUCAUGUAUGAAGCUUAUUCAUGAUUCUUGGGCUAAUAAGGUUGUUGGUUGUCCUAUGUUUAUUUUACAUCAUAAGUUAAAAAGGUUGAAAGUUGAGCGACGUGACUAGAAUAAAAAUUCUUUUGGUAAUGUUCACAAUGUAGUUCUUCUUAAACAGGGUCUUUUCCUUGGUAUUCAACAAACCUUAGAGACUGCUAGUAUGUCUGAUAUUGAUGGGCUUCUCUGUCAAGAAAGGAUCGCUAAGGAUGAGCUUGAUCAGGCUCUUCACUGUCAAUAUUUGUUUUGGAAAGAAAGGGCUAAAAUGCUUUGGUUUAAAGAUGGGGAUAGAAAUACUGCUUUUUUCCAUGCUGUGGUCAAGAGGAGAAAUAAUUCUAGUGGGAUUCGUCGUCUACGAAUUGAUAAUGUUGUUAAUGAGGAUCCUACACUCAUUAAGGAACAUAUUUUGGACUUUUAUAAAACUCUUUAUGCUGAGUCUAUUUCUCAUGAUCAGGAUACAGACAAUAUGGAAGAUUUUAUUGGUACUUAUAUUCCUGAGCUGGUUUCCUCUGAGGAGAAUAUGAUGUUGAUUAAGUGUCCUGGUUUUUUGGAAAUCAAGAAUGUUGUUUUUAACCUUAAUGGUAAUAGUGCUCCUGGUCCUGAUGGCUUUGGUGGUGUUUUUUAUCAUUCUUGUUGGGAUAUUAUUGGGACAGAUGUUUGUAAUGCAGUCCAACAGUUUUUUAAACAAAACUGGGUUCUCCCUGGAAUGAACAGUAAUGUGGUAUCUCUUAUUCCUAAGAUUUAGGGUGUUGAAUCUAUUAAAGACUACAAGCCGAUUGCUGUUGCUAAUUUUAAAUUUAAGAUUAUUUCCAAAAUUUUGGCAGAUCGGCUUGCUCUUGUGGCUGCCAAAAUUAUUUCUCCUAAUCAGUAUGGGUUUGUGCAGGGCAGACAAAUUCAAGAUUGUAUUAGUAUUGCUUCUGAAGUUAUUAACUUGCUUUCUGAAAAGGUUCACGGAGGCAAUGUGGCUUACAAAGUUGAUAUUCACAAAGCCUUUGACAUUCUAAGUUGGAAGUUUUUACUAUUAGUUUUGUCACGCUUUGGUUUUCACCCCUCGUUUGUCGGUUGGAUUAGUACUAUUCUCCGUUCAGCUAUGCUUUCUAUCAGAAUAAAUGGUAGUUUGGUGGGUUUUUUUCCUUGUAGUAGAGGUGUUAGACAAAGUGAUCCUUUGUCUCCUAUACUUUUUUGUCUUGCAGAGGAAGUUCUUAGUAGAGGUCUCUCAAAGCUUGUGAAUGAUAAGAAGAUUCUACAUAUGGCUAGUCUACAAGGUUUUCUCACUCCCUCUCAUAUUUUAUAUGCGGAUGACAUUUUUAUUUUCUGUAGGGCGGAUAAUAAGUCUCUUAGAAAUUUGAGUAAUUUUCUUAAAACAUAUGGUGAUUUCUCUGGUCAAUAUGUUAAUAAUUCUAAGAGUAGUUUUUUCACUAUGGAUAAUUCUACAAGAUUUGUCACCAAAAUUCAGCGUAUUCUUUCUUGUAGUCAUGGUUGUUUGCCUUUCACUUAUUUAGGAGUGCCUAUCUUUGUUGGUGCUCCAAGGGGUCAUUUUCUUCAACCUUUGGCUGAUAAAGUCAAAUUGAAGCUAGCUUCUUGGAAAGGUAAAUCUCUUAGCAUGAUGGGUCAGGUUCAGUUGGUCAAUACGGUGAUUACGGGUCUUCUAGCUUAUAGUUUUAAUUUGUAUAAAUGGCCUGUUUCUCUUCUUAAGCAAGUUGAGCAGUGGUGUCGAAAUUUUAUCUGGACUGGUGAUAUUCUGAAAAAAGGUAUAGCUACUGUUAAUUGGGAUACGAUUUGUUCUCCCCUUGAGAAUGGAGGUUUGAAAAUUAUUAACCUUCACCAUNNNNNNNNNNNNNNNNNNNNNNNNNNNNNNNNNNNNNNNNNNNNNNNNNNNNNNNNNNNNNNNNNNNNNNNNNNNNNNNNNNNNNNNNNNNNNNNNNNNNNNNNNNNNNNNNNNNNNNNNNNNNNNNNNNNNNNNNNNNNNNNNNNNNNNNNNNNNNNNNNNNNNNNNNNNNNNNNNNNNNNNNNNNNNNNNNNNNNNNNNNNNNNNNNNNNNNNNNNNNNNNNNNNNNNNNNNNNNNNNNNNNNNNNNNNNNNNNNNNNNNNNNNNNNNNNNNNNNNNNNNNNNNNNNNNNNNNNNNNNNNNNNNNNNNNNNNNNNNNNNNNNNNNNNNNNNNNNNNNNNNNNNNNNNNNNNNNNNNNNNNNNNNNNNNNNNNNNNNNNNNNNNNNNNNNNNCCUAAUUGGAUUCUAAAUGAGUCUGGUCGUCUCACUCUUAAAUCAGCUAGGACUUUUUUCUUGGAUCCAGGGAUUUCCUGUGGUUGGGGUAAAUUUAUUUGGUCUUCAUAUAUUCCUCCUUCCAAAACUCUUGUCCUUUGGAAAGUUUUUCAUGGGCGGCUUCCUACAGAUCAGCAUAUUCAAAAUAAAGGUUUGCAUAUUUGUUCUAUGUGUACGCUUUGUGAAAAGCACGAGGAAUCUAUUCAACAUUUAUUUUUUGAAUGUGCUAAUGCUUUGCGUAUUUUGAGUUGGGUUCGACACAUUUUUCCUACUUAUCAUUUCUCUAAUAAGGAUGAUCUUCUUUCUUUUAUUAAGAGUGAUGGUAGUCCAUUGGUUAAAUUGAUUAAGCUAGUUAUGAUAACUUUUUCUAUUUGGAUGAUAUGGCGUAUGAGGAAUUAUGCUCAUUUUCAGGAUAAGAUUGAGGUUUCUAGGGCUAUUUUGGUUAUUAAAGAUUUAACUUGUCUAGUGGGUAAUUCGUUUAAAGCUUCAAUGAAGAAUGAUAUGUUCGAUUUCAAUGUGCUCAAGUUUUUUGGUAUUAACACUCGUACUGGUAAAGUUCUACGUCCUCUUCCUGUUAGAUGAGAGUUUCCUUCACCAGGCUGGGUUAAAAUUAACAUUGAUGGGGCUGCUAGGGGAUAUCCUGGUCUUGCUACUUGCGGAGGUAUUUUUCAUGGGAGUAUGGGGGAAUUUAUUGGAGUUUUUUUUGCGUUUCUUGAAGUUCAGACUGCUCUGGUUGCUGAGUUUUAUGGGGUUAUACAUGCUAUGGAGGAAGUUCAAAAGAUGGGGCUUACUAAUGUCUGGCUGGAAUGUGAUUCUGCUUUGGUUUGUGUUGCGUUUACUGCUAGGACAAAUGUUCCUUGGAUGCUUCGUAAUCGAUGAAAUGCUUGUCUUAAUUACUGUGGGAAAAUUAGGUUUACGGUUACUCAUAUUUUCGUGAAGGAAAUGCGUAUGCUAAUAAGUUGGCUAAUUUAGGAUUUUUUUCAUAGAGAAUCUUUUCUUUGGUAUAAUAGGCUUCCACCUUAUCUGUUCUUAGAAUUCUUUAUGAAUAGGUAUAGUCUACCUAUGUAUCGUUUUUGUUAACAUAUGGGUUUUGGUCUAGUCCCCCGUAUUUUUGUAUUUUCUUUCUUUAUUUUCUUUUGUUUAAUAAUACUUUUUUCAUGUGAUGGUAAAUGAUUGUUGUUAUUUGAGGUGUCAGCAUAGCCGAGAUCUUAAGUUGCAUAGUGAUGCCUAACAUGAAAGCUUUUAUUUAAAACAAAAGAUUAAAAUAGAUAAUAAUAGAAAAAAUUUAAAGAAAAUAAAAAGAAUUCUUAAAAUAUAAAAGGCAACAAUAAAAGUAAAUUAAAUAAGUUAAAAACUUGAAAUUACUUAAAAAAAACUUUGACAUACCUUAUCCAACAUUUAUUCUCUUUAAAAAAAAUGCAAUAUACUUAAUUUCUUUUUAAAUAAAUAAUAAUUAAAUAAUAAAAAAUAGCUUUUAAAUUAGUAUUUAACAUUAACUAAAUUAGAUAUUAUUUUAUAAAUUAAAAAUUUAUUGGUAUCUAAAAUAAUUUAUAUUAUUAAAAAAUAAAAAAUAGCUUUUAAAUUAGUAUUUAACAUUAACUAUUAAAAUUUUAUUUAAAUUAAAGUAAUAAGUAUUAAAAUCUUCGUAACUAAUAUUGAUACUAAUUUAAAAAUUAUUUUUUAAUUAUUUAUUAAUAAUAUAAACUACUUUAAAUAAUAAUAUUUUUUAUUAGUUUAUAAAAUAUUAUUUAAAUAUAAUUAAUCAAUAUUUAUUUUUUAUCUUCAAAUUAGUUGAUACUUAAUAAAUUGUUUAGUAAAAAUAAGAAAAAUAAGAAAAUAUAUUAAAAUAGAGAUAAUAAUAAAAGAUUAAAAAAGUUAGCUACUAUAAACUAUAUAAAUAAAUUAAAUUAUUUUUAAAUAUUUUACCAAACAUAUUUUUGUGUGUUAGCAAAGUUAAUGUUUAAUGUAAUAAAUUAAGUGUACAGUUGGCUAAAUCUUCCAUAAAAUCAUUUAUUGUGGUCUAAGAAAGGUGCACCAAACCAACCAAUCACACAUGGUUAACAUGAUCAUCAUUUUCCAUUAUAAAUACAACAGCUAAGCUUCUCAACUCUCCCAUCACACCUCCCUUUCCCUAAUUAUACACUUUGGGAUUUACUUCAAUCAAUCAUCAUGGCUGAGGAGCACCACCAUCACCACCCCCUCCACCACCACAAAGAGGAUGUGCCUGGUGAAGUUGAUUAUAAGAAGGAGGAGAAGCAUCACAAGCAUCUUGAGCACCUUGGAGAACUUGGUGCUACUGCAGCUGGUGCUUAUGCCUUGGUAAUCACAUAUCUAUCUUUCUUCAAUCAAUCAUAUUUUCCUCAUCAUCCUUUUUCUUAACUUCAAAUAUAUUUAUGUAAAUCUUUGUUAUGCAUCUUCUAUACAUGUCAUUCUGGUUUGUUUUAUAUAAUUUUAUAUAAAUUGAUGGACUAAUCUGAAAAGAAUUAUAUGUGAUAUAGCAUGAGAAGCACGAGGCAAAGAAAGACCCAGAACAUGGUCACAGGCACAAGAUAGAAGAGGAGAUUGCAGCAGCUGCAGCUGUUGGUGCUGGUGGUUUUGUGUUCCAUGAACACCAUGAGAAAAAGGAAGCUAAGAAAGAAGAUGAAGAAGCUCAUGGAAAGAAGCACCACCAUCUCUUUGGCUGAAGGAACAUGAACACGAUAAUAAUAUUCAAGCUCAGAACUAUCACCUGUGUGUCUCUUUUGUUUUAUAU